CGGGAGGCAGCAGUGGGGAAUAUUGCACAAUGGGGGAAACCCUGAUGCAGCAACGCCGCGUGGAGGAUGACACAUUUCGGUGCGUAAACUCCUUUUAUAUGGGAAGAUAAUGACGGUACCAUAUAAUAAGCACCGGUAA
rnacentral:rRNA from 1 species